rnacentral:rRNA from 1 species
AACGAACGCUGGCGGCAUGCCUAACACAUGCAAGUCGAACGAGACCUUCGGGUCUAGUGGCGCACGGGUGCGUAACGCGUGGUAACCUGCCCUUAGGUUCGGAAUAACUCCCCGAAAGGGAUGCUAAUACCGGAUAAUGUCUUCGGACCAAAGAUUUAUCGCCUUUGGAUGGGCCCGCGUUGGAUUAGCUAGUUGGUAGGGGAAAAGCAUACCAAGGCGACGAUCCAUAGCUGGUCUGAGAGGAUGAUCAGCCACACUGGGACUGAGACACGGCCCAGACUCCUACGGAAGGCAGCAGUGGGGAAUAUUGGACAAUGGACGAAGGCGUGAUCCAGCAAUGCCGCGUGAGUGAUGAAGGCCUUAGGGUUGUAAAGCUGUUUUACCCGGGAUGAUAAUGACAGUACCGGGAGAAUAAGCUCCGGCUAACUCCGUG